rfam:Erinaceus europaeus unplaced genomic scaffold scaffold00740, whole genome shotgun sequence
CCAAAGGCUCUUUUCAGAGCCACCCAUUUCAUCAUCAAAAGUUGCU